UGGGGAAUUUUGGACAAUGGGCGAAAGCCUGAUCCAGCAAUGCCGCGUGUGUGAAGAAGGCCUUCGGGUUGUAAAGCACUUUUGUCCGGAAAGAAAUCCUCUGGGUUAAUACCUCGGGGGGAUGACGGUACCGGAAGAAUAAGCACCGGCUAACUACGUGCCAGCAGCCGCGGUAAUACGUAGGGUGCAAGCGUUAAUCGGAAUUACUGGGCGUAAAGCGUGCGCAGGCGGUUUUGUAAGACGGAUGUGAAAUCCCCGGGCUUAACCUGGGAACUGCAUUCGUGACUGCAAGGCUAGAGUAUGGCAGAGGGGGGUAGAAUUCCACGUGUAGCAGUGAAAUGCGUAGAGAUGUGGAGGAAUACCGAUGGCGAAGGCAGCCCCCUGGGCCAAUACUGACGCUCAUGCACGAAAGCGUGGGGAGCAAACAGGAUUAGAUACCCUGGUAGUCCACGCCCUAAACGAUGUCAACUAGUUGUUGGGGAUUCAUUUCCUUAGUAACGUAGCUAACGCGUGAAGUUGACCGCCUGGGGAGUACGGUCGCAAGAUUAAAACUCAAAUGGAAUUGACGGGGUCAUAGCUGUUUCC
rnacentral:rRNA from 1 species